GAGCAUAACUGGCGUAAUGGGGACUGCUAAUUACCCAUGCCUACAGUUCAAUUCUGUGGUUUGCUCA
rnacentral:tRNA from 1 species